AGUUUAAAAUUGUUGAUUAUUUUUAACAAAUGGUAAUGGCUUAACUAUUUCCACUUAGGCUUAUCUAGUUGCAAGGAAUUUGAAGUUAGAGCAGGCAUAAGAAGACUGAAAGCCAACAAGUUACCUCAAGCAGUGUGACAUUAUUUGAAGUAUGUGUGCCUGGGAACUCAGGAACCACCUCACCAGCUCCAUCCCCCUCCCAAAAAUAACCCCCAGGUCUCAGGAACGAACAGAAAUUGUAGGGUGUUCCAAGAUCCAAGGCACCUCUAAGGGCCUCAGGAGCAAAAGAUGCUAGAUUUUUAGGGUUGGGGGUCUGCCAUGCACGUGACUCAGUUUCUGCCCCCAUCAUAAUCCUAGCUCGUACCUUUCGGGUUGUUUUCUGCGUCCUAACCCUCAGCUCCCAUCUCCAGGCUCCAGUUGCCAAGAGUCUCUAACUGGGCCAGCUUAUCUCUUUACACCAGGUCUUCUCAGGGGUCAUUGACCGGUGUCAGGAGCCCACCCUGCCUCAGUUGGUUGUGUUAGCAGGUUCACAUGGAGCAGUUUCGCUUAGAGGUGAGCUUGGGGUUGUAGCACACAUCUAGUAUGCUAGGCUUAUUGGUUCAUAAUAGUUCUGUUUCUUGGAACAGGAUUUUUAUAGGGAGAAGAGUAAAUCAGCCUUUCUGUAUGCCCAUUCAUGAAACAGAAGAGGCUUUACACGUGAGGACAAAAACUUCUUAUUCAAGAGUUGAAAGCUUCUGACAUGGCAGAAUCUAAGCACUUACAAGGUUUCCACAUCACCUCUCACCCGCCCAGCUCCCGCCUCCACUCACCCCUGGUAGCAGGAUGGAACUGGUACCUGAAGAAGUUGAGGAGGAGGCCACUUUCCCACUGCCUCUGUGACUUCGCUAGUGCAAAUACAGACAACAAAGCUCUCAGUUAUAGGGGCCUCAGAGCACCUUGGUUUUUCCCGUAGACCCAGGGUAGGAGGGGUAGAGACCAGGACCGGCAGCCAGACCUCAGCAUCCAGACACGGACUGAGGUGUAAGGGCUGCCACACUUGUGAUUUCGGAGAAAGGGAAUUUUCGUGUAUAUGACUUUUGUUUUAUGGGUAGCAGGGCUUAUCAUCGACACUGAUUUUAUACUCUGACAACCAAACAUCUUUCAUUAAAGAGCCUACUGAAAUGGCACCGAGCUUUAUGUGAAGGUAUAAUUUAUUGAAUACCAACUGCGUUCCAGCAUAGGGAUGGGCAUAUAAAUACAAAACUGAAUCCUCAUUUCAACUUUGCAGGGGAGGUUUUUUCUUUAAGUUUAUUUAUUUUUUUAGUAAUCUCUGCACCUGUUGUGGGACUAGAACCCACGACCAUCAGAUCAAGAGUCUCACACUCUUCCAACUGAGCCAGCCAGGUGACCAAGGGAGAUACUUUUUAAUCCCUGGUUUAGAUUUGAGGAAACUCCAGCUUAUAGAAGGUUAAAUAAAUUACCCAAAAUACAGCUAAUAAGUCACAGAACCUAGGUCUAACUUCUUGGAAUCCUAUGCAUUUCCUGGAGUCUUUUAACAUGAAAAUUCGUAUCUAAAUCAAGUGACUAUGACCUAGCACUAUAAAUACUAAAUACUUAUUCAUGACACUGUACCAAGUCAGCCUUUGCUUUUCUGUUAUUUGUCAGUUCUUCACCUGGUUAAUCUCAGUUCUGUUGCCAUCGGACUUGGCUCAAUAAAUGAAUAAAUGAAUGGA